GACGAACGCUGGCGGCGUGCCUAAUACAUGCAAGUCGAGCGAACCAAUAGGAGCUUGCUCCUGUUGGUUAGCGGCGGACGGGUGAGUAACACGUGGGCAACCUGCCUGUAAGACUGGGAUAACACCGGGAAACCGGUGCUAAUACCGGAUAAUCUUUUUCCUCUCAUGAGGAAAAACUGAAAGUCGGUUUCGGCUGACACUUACAGAUGGGCCCGCGGCGCAUUAGCUAGUUGGUGAGGUAACGGCUCACCAAGGCGACGAUGCGUAGCCGACCUGAGGGGGUGAUCGGCCAACAUGGGACUGAGACACGGCCCAGACUCCUACGGGAGGCAGCAGUAGAGAAUCUUCCACAAUGGACGAAAGUCUGAUGGAGCAACGCCGCGUGAGCGAUGAAGGCCUUCGGGUCGUAAAGCUCUGUUGUUAGGGAAGAACAAGUACCGGAGUAACUGCCGGUGCCUUGACGGUACCUAACCAGAAAGCCACGGCUAACUACGUGCCAGCCGCCGCCGUAA
rnacentral:rRNA from 1 species